rnacentral:tRNA from 1 species
UUUAGGUAUUCAAAAAUGAUUUUAAAUUGCAAAUUUGAAGGUGAAAAAUUUCUCUAAACUU